rnacentral:rRNA from 1 species
CACGUAGGCGGAUAUUUAAGUCAGGGGUGAAAUCCCAGAGCUCAACUCUGGAACUGCCUUUGAUACUGGGUAUCUUGAUAUGGAAGAGGUAAGUGGAAUUCCGAGUGUAGAGGUGAAAUUCGUAGAUAUUCGGAGGAACACCAGUGGCGAAGGCGGCUUACUGGUCCAUUACUGACGCUGAGGUGCGAAAGCGUGGGGAGCAAACA